UACGUAGGUGGCAAGCGUUGUCCGGAAUUAUUGGGCGUAAAGGGCUCGCAGGCUGUUCCUUAGGUCUGAUGUGAAAUCUUGCGGCUUAACCGUAAGCGGUCAUUGGAAACUGGGGGACUUGAGUGCAGAAGAGGAGAGUGGAAUUCCACGUGUAGCGGUGAAAUGCGUAGUGAUGUGGAGGAACACCAGUGGCGAAGGCGACUCUCUGGUCUGUAACUGACGCUGAGGCGCGAAAGCGUGGGGAGCGAACAGG
rnacentral:rRNA from 1 species